GACAGAGGGGGCAAGCGUUGCUCGGAAUUACUGGGCGUAAAGGGCGCGUAGGCGGGAUGGCAAGUCGGUCGUGAAAUCCCUCGGCUCAACUGAGGAGCGUCGAUCGAAACUGCCGUUCUUGAGGGUUGCAGAGGAGACUGGAAUUCCCGGUGUAGCGGUGAAAUGUGUAGAGAUCGGGAGGAACACCGGUGGCGAAGGCGGGUCUCUGGGCAACUCCUGACUCUGAGGCGCGAAAGCGUGGGGAGCAAACGGG
rnacentral:rRNA from 1 species